rnacentral:rRNA from 1 species
ACCAACAGGGAUUGCCCCAGUAACGGCGAGUGAAGCGGCAACAGCUCAAAUUUGAAAUCUGGCCCUUGGGUCCGAGUUGUAAUUUGUAGAGGAUGCUUUUGGCGAGGUGCCUUCCGAGUUCCCUGGAACGGGACGCCAUAGAGGGUGAGAGCCCCGUCUGGUCGGACACCGAGCCUCUGUAAAGCUCCUUCGACGAGUCGAGUAGUUUGGGAAUGCUGCUCAAAAUGAGAGGUAUAUGUCUUCUAAAGCUAAAUAUUGGCCAGAGACCGAUAGCGCACAAGUAGAGUGAUCGAAAGAUGAAAAGCACUUUGAAAAGAGGGUUAAAAAGUACGUGAAAUUGUUGAAAGGGAAGCGCCUAUGACCAGACUUGGGCCCGGUGAAUCAUCCAGCGUUCUCGCUGGUGCACUUUGCCGGGCACAGGCCAGCAUCAGUUUGGCGCGGGGGAAAAAGGCUUUGGGAAUGUGGCUCCCUCGGGAGUGUUAUAGCCCAUUGUGUAAUACCCUGCGCCGGACUGAGGUACGCGCAUUGCAAGGAUGCUGGCGUAAUGGUCAUCAGCGACCCGUCUUGAAACACGGACCAAGGAGUCGUCUUCGUAUGCGAGUGUUCGGGUGUCAAACCCCUACGCGUAAUGAAAGUGAACGCAGGUGAGAGCUUCGGCGCAUCAUCGACCGAUCCUGAUGUUCUCGGAUGGAUUUGAGUAAGAGCAUACGGGGCCGGACCCGAAAGAAGGUGAACUAUGCCUGUAUAGGGUGAAGCCAGAGGAAACUCUGGUGGAGGCUCGCAGCGGUUCUGACGUGCGAAUCGAUCGUCAAAUAUGGGCAUGGGGGCGAAAGACUAAUCGAACCUU